UCGAGAAUCAUUGUCAAUGCGCGAAAGCGUGAACAUGCGACGCCGCGUGGAGGAAGACGGCCUUCGGGUUGUAAACUCCUGUCAGCAGGGAGUAAGGGCAGCAUUACUAACAUUAAUGCUGUUUGACAGUACCUGCAGAGGAAGUCACGGCUAACUCUGUGCCAGCAGCCGCGGUAAUACAGAGGUGGCGAACGUUGUUCGGAUUUACUGGGCGUAAAGGGUCCGCAGGCGGUUCGGUGUGUCGGAUGUGAAAGCUCACAGCUCAACUGUGGAAUUGCAUUCGAAACUGCCGAACUAGAGUACUGGAGGGGAGAAGGGAACACUUGGUGUAGCGGUGAAAUGCGUAGAUAUCAAGUGGAACACCGGAGGCGAAGGCGCUUCUCUGGACAGAUACUGACGCUCAUGGACGAAAGCUAGGGUAGCGAAAG
rnacentral:rRNA from 1 species